rnacentral:rRNA from 1 species
UACGUAGGGGGCAAGCGUUGUCCGGAAUUAUUGGGCGUAAAGAGCGUGUAGGCGGUCCGGUAAGUCAGCUGUGAAAGUCAAGGGCUCAACCCUUGAAUGCCGGUUGAUACUGUCGGGCUAGAGUCCGGAAGAGGCGAGUGGAAUUCCCGGUGUAGCGGUGAAAUGCGCAGAUAUCGGGAGGAACACCAAUGGCGAAGGCAGCUCGCUGGGACGGUACUGACGCUGAGACGCGAAAGCCAGGGGAGCAAACGGG